rnacentral:rRNA from 1 species
AGUGAACGCUGGCGGCAGGCCUAACACAUGCAAGUCGAACGGCAGCACAGCAGUAGCAAUACUGUGGGUGGCGAGUGGCGGACGGGUGAGGAAUACAUCGGGAUCUACCUUUUUCGUGGGGGAUAACGUAGGGAAACUUACGCUAAUACCGCAUACGCCCUACGGGGGAAAGCGGCGGACCGCAAGGCGUCGCGCGAUGAGAUGAACCGAUGUCCGAUUAGCUAGUUGGCGGGGUAAAGGCCCACCAAGGCGACGAUCGGUAGCUGAUCUGAGAGGAUGAUCAGCCACACUGGAACUGAGACACGGUCCAGACUCCUACGGGAGGCAGCAGUGGGGAAUAUUGGACAAUGGGCGCAAGCCUGAUCCAGCCAUGCCGCGUGGGUGAAGAAGGCCUUCGGGUUGUAAAGCCCUUUUGUCCGUAAGAAAGCACGGGAUUAAUACCCUCGUGUGAUGACGGUACCGGAAGAAUAAGCACCGGCUAACUUCGUGCCAGCAGCCGCGGUAACG